rnacentral:rRNA from 1 species
CCCUUAGAUGUUCUGGGCUGCACGCGUGCUACAAUGGCGUUUCCGGCAAGUCUGCGAACCCGAGAGGGCCAGCGGAUCUUCGAAUUGGCGUCGUGAUCGGGACAGUCGAUUGCAAUUAUUUGACUCAAACGAGGAAUUCCUUGUAAUCGCGAUUCAUCAUAUCGCGCUGAAUACGUCCCUGCCCUUUGUACACACCGCCCGUCGCUCCUACCGAUUGAGCGAUCCGGUAAAUGUUUUGGAUUGGUGCCGGGGCGGCUAACUGCCGGUCGCUACGAAAUUUUGUGAACCUUAUCGCUUAGAGGAAGGAAAAGUCGUAACA